UGGUUUUUAGUUACAUGGAUAAGUUCUUUAGUGGUGAUUUCUGAGAUGUUAGUGCACUCAUCAUCCAAGCAAUGUGUGCACUGUCUCUUACCCCCUCUCAACCUUCCCCCACAAGUCCCCCAAAUCCAUUAUAUCAUUCUUAGGCCUUUGCAUCCUCAUAGCUUAGCUCCCAAUUAUAAGUGAGGACAUACGAAAUUUGGUUUUUCAUUCUUGAGUUACUUCACUUAGAAUAGUUGCUGCAACACAUUACUUCAUUCCUUUUUAUGGCUGAGUAGUAUUCCAUGGUGUAUACAUACCACAUUUUCUUUAUUCAUUCAUUGGUUGAUGGGUACUUAGGUUGGUUCCAGAUCUUUGCAAUUGUGAAUUGUGCUGCUUUAAACAUGCACAUGCGUGUGUCUUUUUCACAUAAUGACUUACUUUCCUUUGGGUAGAAACCCAGUAGCAGGAUUCCUUAAUUGAAUGGUAGUUCUACUUUUAGUUCUUUAUGUAAUCUUUUAGUUCUUUAAGGAAUCUCCAUACUGUGUUCUAUAGUAGUUGUACUAAUUUAUAUCUAGAUUACACCUAAUUACACCACCUAGAGCAUGAAGAAUUUAAGCAAUAAAAUAAAUGAUGAUAGGCUUGUAUUAUAACAACAACAACUAUAUACAUAUAUAUAUAUAUAUAUAUAUAUAUAUAUAUAUGUUAUAUAUUCACUAGCCCAUGCAGGCUUAAAUAAGUGAUUGAAUAAAUAAAUAAAUGAGGGAGGCAGGGACAAUUAUUUUUUACAGAAGAGUUUUCAAUAGUAUAGGUAGACCAUUCCUCCUUCAGAAAGUGGAGCUUAAAUCCUCUUCUCUUGAGUGCAGGCUGGACUUAGUGAUUUAUUUUCAAAGAGUAAAAUAUUGAAAGGGACAAAUAGUAGCUUUAUGGAGCACUCUGGCAGACAUCAUCUUAAACAAGCAAUGGGAUUAGCAUCACUAGUGAUGUCAUACACCCUGGCUAUGAUGAUGAGAAGCAUCACACCUCUGUGGUAUUAUCUUUAAAAACUCAUAACCUCAGUCUAAGCAUGCAAAUCCAUCCAACAGACUCACAUUGGGAGAUAUUCUACAAAAUAUCUUACCAGUACUCCUCAAAAGUAUCAAGGUCAUAAAAAAGAAAGACUGAAAGACCGUCCCAGACCAGCAGAAACUAAGGAAACAAAAUGCAAUAUGGUACCCUAGGUGAUUCCUGGAAGAGAAAAAGAACAUUAGUGGGAAAACUUGUAAAAUCCAAAUAAUGUUGCUAACAUCUUCUAGUCAAACAACUCUCCUUUUCAAAGGGACCAGGCACAGUUUCUGCUUAUCCCUGAGUAGCAGUGUUCAGUUUCCUGCCAGCCUGUGGAGUUUUUCAAACAAGCCAAUCACCUCCUCCUGUGGGAACUGAGAAGCACCCCACCCUCUCGAUACUACAAAGCCCCUGCUUGUUCCCUAGUGCAACUCCCAUGUGGUCCUGUGGAGCAUAUGGUAUCUUCCUCUUCUGGGCAGUGAGCAUAUGUGACUAAUAAACUAUCUAUCU
rnacentral:lncRNA from 1 species